ensembl:lncRNA
GUAAGUAUUGAUAAAUACUCCAGCUUUAUUCUUCAAAGUUGUCUUGCUAUUCAAGGUCCUUGGCAUCUUUGUAUAAAUUUUAAGAUUUGUGUUGUUGGAUACUGUAGCCACUGACCACCUGUGGUAGCUCUUAAGCAUUUGAAUUGAAGUCAGUUUGAGAUCAGAUGUGCUUUUCCUGGAGAUGGCAGCAAAGUACACAGAAGCAAAGGGACCAACCAUACCACAUAAACAAGCGGCAAGAUUAAUGGCGCUGUGCAGUUCUGGGGAUGACUGACGAAAUGCAUCGGCCUCUUCUGCUCUCAAGUGACAGGGCAGGGAUCUUCCUGACCCAGAGAUGGAACCCAUGUCUCCUGUGGCUCCUUCGUUGGCAGACGAUUCUUUACCAUGUGAGCUACGAAACCCUUGGUACAAUGAGGACCUGUUUUUAAACUGGAAAUAAACCAGAAGCAUUAUUCUAUACUUAUAUACUGUAGUGAUCCAAGGAUGAAAGAGCAGAUAAGACCAAGG